rfam:Picea glauca, whole genome shotgun sequence.
GGGUGCGAUCAUACCAGCAUUAAUGCACCGGAUCCCAUUAAAACUCCGUAGUUAAGCGCGCUUGGGCUAGAGUAGUAUUGGGAUGGGUGACCUCCCGGGAAGUCCUAGUGUUGCACCCU